rnacentral:rRNA from 1 species
ACAUGCCUACAACAUAGUGUUAAUGCAUCAAAUCUCAUUAGAACUCUGUAGUUAAGUGUGCUCAGGCUAGAGUAGUACUAGGAUGAGUGACUUCCUAGGAAGUCCUAAUGUUUUACAUGCC